rnacentral:rRNA from 1 species
UACAGAGGUCUCGAGCGUUGUUUGGAUUCAUUGGGCGUAAAGGGUGCGUAGGUGGCGCUGUAAGUCGGGUGUGAAAUUUCGGAGCUUAACUCCGAAACUGCAUUCGAUACUGCGGUGCUUGAGGACUGGAGAGGAGACUGGAAUUCAUGGUGUAGCAGUGAAAUGCGUAGAGAUCAUGAGGAAGACCAGUGGCGAAGGCGGGUCUCUGGACAGUUCCUGACACUGAGGCACGAAGGCCAGGGGAGCAAACGGG